GGCUCGAUCCUGCGCCAGCACUCACAUACCUCAGCGGAUUCUCCUGCCCAAUAUUCGCAGCAGGGAUCGCAGGGAUGUAGGAGGCAUUCAGCCGGAGUGUGAGCAGGAGUAGAGUCACGAGCAUCAUAGCUGAGGGCCCGCUGAUCCUCGAGCACGAGAUAAGAAUGAAAUCAUGGCGCCCUUACAAAUAGCAUCAUUCUGUGGAAUAUUUCUUUUAAUAGUAUGUCAUUUGGGCGAUUCUUCAAAUCCUCUUGCCUCAACCAAGGGCAAUGAGACCAGAGUUGAUGCAGGAUCGUCUGCAAACGCUGCAAAGGAGAAAGGGAAAAGUCACAAGAAUUCAAGUGAAGUCAGAUUUACAGGAGGUGCUGAAAAAUGGGAUGAUGAUGAUACAUACACAUCUACAAUGAAAUUCGAGGGUGAUUCUUCUAAUUCAAAGAGCCAAAGAGAGAGGAAAGAUGAUUCAGGUAAAUUUGCAGGGAGCAAGCGAAGAUUGGAUGAUGACCAGUCAGUUUGUGCCGAUGACAUUACUCGUCUAUGUCCUGAAAUUCCAAUGGGAAACAACUUUGCCCUUCUUGUCUGUUUACAGGAAAAGGCCAAGGAAGAUGAUUUGACUGUGGAAUGUCAUCAUAUGCUGUGGGAAUACAAGCAAACAUUUGCCAAGGAUCCAAAGUUUGAAAAAGCUGUACAGCAAAGAUUUUGUGUGGCUGAUCUAAAACUGUUGCCUGAUUGUCAAAAACCAGGGCAGAUUGUUCCAUGUUUACUUGAACACAGGCAGAAGCUGACAGUUCCUACAUGCAAGCAUAUGAUGACCAAAAUGCAAGCAAUUGUCUUCAGCAAUUUCCAUCUGAUUUCACACUUUUUGGAUGAUUGUGCUAAUGAUGUGAAGACAUUUACGUGUGGCAGGAUUCCAAGAGAAGAUGAAGGAGAGGAUAUCCACUCUCAAAAUGACGUACUAGAAUGCCUUGGAGAACACCGGGAAAAAUUAUCACAGGCAUGCCAAAAACAAAUUUAUUAUCUAGCUGAACUGUCUUCUGAUGACUACCGUCUUGACCGUCCUCUGUACUAUGCUUGCAAAGAUGACAGAGAGAGAUUUUGUGAAGAGAUUCCAUCAGGGGAGGGAAGAGUGUACAAAUGCUUGAAGAAAUACAAGUUUGAGGCAGCCAUGAGUAAUGAAUGUCGACAUAGGUUGACAGAGAGACAGAGACUGGAGGCCAUUGAUCCAAAAGCAAACUAUCCAUUGAUGAAGAAUUGCAUGCUGUUUUAUCAACAAUACAAGGAUCAAUAUGAAUGUGAAAGAGGAAAUGCAAGCCCUGGAGUUCUACACAACAAUUUACUCUGUUUACAGAAAGCUAUACAAGAUGAUCAAAAAGUUAGCGGCAAGUGUCAGGCAGAGUUAUUUGAUCUGAGUCAACAGCUGAUGGAAGAUUACUCCAUCAAUCCUGAGAUUGUUGCAAAGUGUGACGUGGAAAUUCAAAAACGUUGUAACAAAGGAGAAAAAAAGGAAGGGAAGACCAUCGACUGUUUAAUGGACUUGGCAGAGGAAAAUGAGGGAAAGGAUGACAUCAUUAGGCCACAGUGCUUCAAGGCUAUUGACAAGCUUUUGGAGGUCACAGGUGCUUGGAGCGAUUACCGCAUUGAUUCCACUUUGUACCAGGCUUGUGAACCAGUCAUCCUGACAGUGUGUAAAGAUAAAUACAAAAAAGAAGCUGAUGCUAUGAUUUUUUCAUGUCUGAGGGAGAAUCUUCACACAGAUAACAUGAUCCCCGAAUGUGAGGAACAGUUGUUGCAUUUGGACUUUUUCGUUGCAAGAAACUUUGGGCUUGAUCCUGUAUUGAAGAAAGCUUGCCAAAAUGAUGUUAAGACCAUCUGCAAUGUUCCCAGCCUGGAUGAUCAAGACUUGUACCCCAGCAGCCUCAUUAUAUCAUGUCUUUAUAGGCAGGCUGUCCUUGAUAUACAAACAAAGGUUUCACCUAAAUGUGCUGCUCAUGUGCAGCGUGUGAUGCAUCAAAGAGCUGUUGACGUCCAUCUGAUGCCUGAAAUACAAACAGCUUGUGUACAGGAUCUUGCAAAACACUGCAGUGAACAACUUGGAAAAGGAGAGGAGAUUCAGUGUUUGCAGGAGAAAUUCAACGACCUGACCACUAAAUGCCAUGAUGUCAUUAGUACAUUCACAGAGGAGGAAGGCAAGGAUUAUAAGCUUGACAGAACUCUGGUGCGUGCUUGCUCUGGUAUGGUUACAAAGUUCUGUGAGGAUAUUGUUACCCAUGGGAACACAGAAGGAGUUCUGCCUUGCUUGGUUGAACACAAAAAUGAUCAAGGGAUGGAUGAGAAGUGUCAUGCUGCAAUUGAGCACUGGCAACUUGUUGAAAUGAAGAAUUUUAAGUUUUCUCCUCAAUUUAAAAAAGCCUGCCAAGAGGAUGCUAAAAGGCACUGCAGGGAUUCAAAGAGCAAGCAUGAUCUAAUUGUUUGUUUGAGUAAAGCCAUCCAUGAUGCCGUUAUUCAAGAAAAGGAACACUCUAUUUCUGAUAAAUGUCGUAAGCAACUGAGAGUCGAGAAGGAGGAAGAGUCUGAAGAUAUCCUGUUUGAUCCUGUGAUGCUUACGUCGUGCAUUAAAGACAUAAAAGCCUUUUGCAAUGACGUUACUUAUGGUCAAGCUAAGGUUUUAGAGUGCCUUAAGGAUAACGAAUUCAAGUUAUCACCGAAAUGUAAAGACACCCUCUUCAAACGUGAGGAGGAAGAGAUGCAAGACCCUGAGCUGGAUUACAAACUGAGACGAUCGUGUAAGAAAAUGAUCAAGAUGUUUUGCGACGAUGUUAAACCAUCAGAGAUAUUUUCUUGCCUCAGAACGAACAAAAAUGAUCCAAACAUGGAGGAAGGUUGUCGUGACAUGAUCAUCAAGAGACAGAUCAGGCAAUCGAAAGACUUUAAACUCGACCCACAGCUGGUCAAGUCCUGCAAGCGAGACGUUCCUAAGUUCUGCAAGGAUGUCAAUCCCGGUGAAGGAAAGAUGGUGGAGUGCCUGAAGCAGCACUAUGAACGUCUUUCUGAUGAGUGCAUGGCCUACGUCAAGAGACUGAUGCGCGAAGCUGCACGUGAUUACAGAAUGGAUGCUAGGCUGUCCAAAGAGUGUGCUGAUGAUAUUGGCAAGUUCUGUAGCGAUAUUCCUCCAUCUGGCGUGGAAGAGUGUCUCAAAUUGCAUUUAGGAUCAAUUGCAUCACAGCGUUGUCGCGUGGAGAUAGUUCGUCAGAUGAGAGAGGGUCGCACAGACGUACAAUCUGACCCGUUGUUAUACAGGGCAUGCGCAGUGGAUGUCAAGCGUCACUGUUCCGAUAUACCAUUUGGUCGAGGAAAAGUAAUGAAGUGUCUCUUGGAAGCCCACGAAUCGAAUCCAGCUCGUUUUGAUAGAGAAUGUCUGCUACAUUUGUCGAGCAGAAUGAAGAUGUGGGAACUAGCAGCAAAGGUCGCACCUCCUGAAACUAUCGGUGAUCUCGCUUUAGCCAUCUCUUCUUCGCCAUCCAAGAACUACUUCUUCGUCAUUUUUGCUACUUGUUUGGCGCUCAUAUUUGUUGGUGGGCUAGUGUUUGGCCGACUGUCCAAGCGAAUCAGAAAAGAAGUCAAAGAUCGCUAAAUAAUGGAUAUUUUGCCAGGACACCUGUGGAAUACAUCUCUCGAAUAACAACAACGACGGACAUGCAAUUAAGGCGUAGCAUUCUACUAGCUUAUGUCAUGCAACAUCUCACGAGUAACUUGAUUUUAAAAUAUUCACACGACUCUUCAUUUAUAUGCUAAGAACAAUCAAGCCACGGGUGGGAUGUUGACGGUAUGGCACGGAACAAGAAAUUCAACUGUAUUUUAUCAUUUGUUAUGUUUUUGGCAGGAAAUGAAUUUGAAGUUGUGACGGACGCGGCAUCUUUUGGCGGGAAAACACCGUUGUAUAGAACUUACGUGAUCCCGCCAAAUUAUGCGGCGGCUUCCAGCUCGUAACAUUGCAUGGGAUUAAAUUGGUCAGGUUCAUGGGCAGAUUAUAAACCGUGACUGAUAUGCGGUUGUUGAAAGUCUUCCGUGUCAGUACUUUUCAAUAAAAAUAAUUUGAAAAGGGAAAAAUAACAAAGUAGUUAAGCACUAGUGUUGUUAGUGGUAUCAUCGAGAGCUAUAAGAGCACCCUUCAGGGCUCCUUAUGCCUUUGCUAAACCCAGCCUCGUGUUGUUUACAUUUCCCAGAACGUUGCUGAGUAGUUGCCAAUUUUUUUCCUUCAAACGUGGCUUCAGUAUUCCUAAAUGUAGUCUAGAAUUUGCUCAUUCUUGUAAAAAGUAAUUCUAAUUAGUUUAGGUUUGGACAUUUUUCUGGAUCGUUUUCACAGUAGAAGUUAAUUUUUGACCUGCCAUCCUUUCCGCGUCUUUUUUGUGUUUUUGGAUUUUCAUUUUCAUGUUUUAUUUAUCGUGUGAUGGAGAAUCGAAAUUAUUUUGUGGUCUUCUACUCAGAUGUUGCUAAUGAUGUAGAUAAAAAUCAUGAUUUAGCAGAUAUGAAGUUGAUAACCAAUGUCUAACAAAGUUGCCAUUAUAACAAAGAGCCAGCUCUAAAACCAGAAAAGUUACCGAACAAAAGGGAAAAGGUUGCGGAGCAACUUGUGGCUCGGCCCAGCCUAUGCCGGGUUUUGCACUUGCCGAAUACUUAAGUGUAUUUUUGUUUUGAAUUUGUGUUUGCAUUAAGGACUUGUUCAUAUCCAGAAAGAGAAUUUUCCAGAACCAGGAUAUACCGGUGAGGCCACAGUGAUGGGGGAGAGGGGGUACCCCACAUCCCGUUAAUUUUUGGCCGAAAUAUCCCGUAUCCCGUUAAUUUCCUACUCGAUAUUUUGCUACUCGAUAUUUUCCUACUCGAUAUUCCGUUUUAUCUGAUCUGAAUAUCCUAUAUAUCAUUAAUUCCCAGAUAUCCUGUAUCCUAUACAUAUUUUACCCAAAUAUCCCACAUCCCGAAAACCCCAUGAAAGGGCCUCACUGGUCUGUCCUUUCCUUUCAAGUACAGUUUCUACUAUUUUUGUUGAGAAAGAAAGUUAAGAAUCGUUACGUUAUCAGAUGGGGUUGUUGGGGAAGGGGGAAGGCAGACGUAGGGAGUAGGGCGGAGCCAAGGGACAACCUCUGUGUAUGAACGAGGUCUUCUAUGUUUGUGAGCCAGAAAAGGGAAAACUGGGGGGUCUAGGUUGUGCGUGGGUAAAUGUCGGUGAACUCACCUAGUUAACAGUUUAUCUUUUAGUCGGCCUGCUGUAAGACUAGGCUUCUAGAUUGAACUCCGGUCAAGACUUACUGUACAGGUUUUUUUUUUUUGUAUCUUGUAGUCUAUGAAAAAGAAGCUUUGUCAAAACCGUCCAAAACAGGCUCAAAAAGCCUGUAUAACUAUUAUGAAUAAUUAUGUUUGGGUAAAUUGAUUUCAAAUUUAAUUCGUAGUACCACUUACUAGCGAAGGGUUUUAUUUCGAUUAUCUGAAUAUAGUUGUAUAAUUUUGAAAGCUAGCUUCUGUUGCAGCAACAUUUCAAGUAGGAGGGCUUCAUGGUCAUCUAUUAGGAGAACUAUAUAAAUAGUUUCUGCUUGUAUUUAGCUAGGUGGUAAGUUUUUCACUGAUAUCAAGGUGUAGAUAAAUGAAAUGUGUCAAGUGGCGAUUUUCCCCGCGCCUUUUUUAAUCAUUGUUUACAAACCGUGAUUAUCUACUUCUUGGUGUCCCAGCUUCACGUUCAGUUGUAGUGUUAAUGAAACUAGGUAGUGAAUUUAUUUUUAAAAGUAUUAACUGCGGUUCGAACCUUGCUUGUAGAAAAUACCUACAGAAAUUGUUAUGUUCAGGCCAAUUCAGGGCGGUUUCCAAUGACUAUGUGCUUGUUUUGUCAUCGCUUUCGACUGACUCGGGGAAAUCCGUGCCAAACAGGCAAUACUUGUAUUCUCGGUGUUGGACUGGAACUAGCCUGCAAUGGAGGCUCACCCGGGGGAAUAUCAUUAAAAAGAGAUUUGAAAUGGCGGGACUCCCCGCGUUGGCCUCAGUUUCAAGCUAGUUCCAGGCCUAUUUUCUAGCUUGUUAAGAGAAAAAAAGUCUGUCGUGUCGACCAAUCAGAAGCUGAGUUACGCAAAACAUUUUUCGCGCUUUGUUGGAUAAUGCGAGCAGUGUUUACGCUAUGCGCAGCUUCUUGGUUUUGUGCGGUUGGAUUUCAACCAGAGUGAUUUGAAACCGCUCUAUAAUUUAGCAGCAACUGUGCUGAACGUACUCCUACUUGAAACCUGUAUUCGUGUAAGUGAAAGUAAACGGGCUAUUAAAGUUGAGCGAGAGACGUCCGUAACUUCUGUGCUCUCAA